rnacentral:rRNA from 1 species
GACGAACGCUGGCGGCGUGCUUAACACAUGCAAGUCGAACGGAAAGGCCCUGCUUUUGUGGGGUGCUCGAGUGGCGAACGGGUGAGUAACACGUGAGUAACCUGCCCUUGACUUUGGGAUAACUUCAGGAAACUGGGGCUAAUACCGGAUAGGAGCUCCUGCUGCAUGGUGGGGGUUGGAAAGUUUCGGCGGUUGGGGAUGGACUCGCGGCUUAUCAGCUUGUUGGUGGGGUAGUGGCUUACCAAGGCUUUGACGGGUAGCCGGCCUGAGAGGGUGACCGGACACAUUGGGACUGAGAUACGACCCAGACUCCUACAGGAGGCAGCAGUGGGGAAUAUUGCACAAUGGGCGGAAGCCUGAUGCAGCAACGCCGCGUGCGGGAUGACGGCCUUCGGGUUGUAAACCGCUUUCGCCUGUGACGAAGCGUGAGUGACGGUAAUGGGUAAAGAAGCACCGGCUAACUACGUG